AAGUCGUAACAAGGUUUCCUAGGUGAACCUGCGGAAGGAUCAUUAAUGAAUUUAAGAUGAAACAGGUGGAGUUGUCGCUGGCCGCGAGGCAUCGUGCACGCUCUUCUGUUUUAUUCAUUCAUCUACACCUGUGCACCUAUUGUAGGCUGAGCAAUCAGUCUAUGUUUUUAUUACACACCCAGUAAAGUUAAACGAAUGUCAUACGGUUGCGCCUAGCGUGAUCUUUAAAAAACUAUACAACUUUCAACAACGGAUCUCUUGGCUCUCGCAUCGAUGAAGAACGCAGCGAAAUGCGAUAAGUAAUGUGAAUUGCAGAAUUCAGUGAAUCAUCGAAUCUUUGAACGCACCUUGCGCCCUUUGGUAUUCCGAAGGGCAUGCCUGUUUGAGUGUCAUUAAAUUAUCAACUCUGAGGUUUCUCAGAGCUUGGACUUGGAGUGUGCCGGGCCCACUUGUGGGUUCAGCUCCUCUUCAAAUGCAUAAGUGGAACCUUUGAUUGCGUACCUGCUCCAGCGUGAUAAUUAUCUACGUUGCAGCAGCGAAAAAGCAUUCGGAUCUGCCUACAACCCGUUGCGAUUGUGCAACACUAACCUUUGACAAUUUGACCUCAAAUCAGGUAGGAUUACCCGCUGAACUUAAG
rnacentral:rRNA from 1 species